AUCUCUAACGACAACUUUAGGAGUCAACCCGGCUUCUAUCCUCGUCACUUGAAACAUCUUUUCCCCCAAUUGCACAGUUUUUUGAGCGUUGGGGUCUUCACAGCCAUGAAUCGGCAACAUCCCACAGUCUUUGCGUUGUGGAGUGGUUAAAGGGAACGAGAGCUUCCCCAGUAUGAAUGUGGGAAACUGA